ACAGGUGAUGCAGAUACUGGAGUUGCAUUGGAUCAUUUUAUCAUGUUCAAUGCAAGACAAAAUUUCUGCAGAACUGUAAUCAAUUAAAUCAAAUCAAAUGGAUAUUUGAUAACAGGAAAAACUUAAAAACUCAUGGAUGUGAAGUGAAAAGACAACCCACAGAAUGGGAGGAAAUAUUUGCAAGUCAUAUAUCUGAUAAGAGGUUAAUAUGUAGACUAUAUAACAACCCAAUAACACAAAACUAACCCUAUGAAAUCAUGAUUGAAGGUCUUGAAUUGACAUUUUUCCAAAGAAGAUACACAAGUAGCCAAGAAAGCACAUAAAAAGAUGCUCGAACAUCACUCAUCAUAAGGAAAGCACAAAUCAAAACUAUACUAAGCUAAUACCUCUUGCUCAUUAGGAUGGCUAUUUUCAAACAAACAACAGGAAAUACAUUUUGGCAAGGAUGUGGAGAAAUUGGAACCCUUUUGCAUAGUUGGUGGGAAUGUAAAUUUGUUCUACUGUAAAAAUAAAUUUUAAAAAAUUGAUAGACCUCUAGCCAUACUAACCAACGAAAAAGAGAGAAGGAACAUUACCAAUAUCAACAUAAGAGGAGAGGAUAUUACUACAGACCUUGCAGGUAUUAGAAGAGUCAAUAAUCAACUCUUAGAUGAAGUGGAUUAAUUUUUUGUAAGACAAAACUAUAACACUCAGGAAGAAAUAUGACAGCAUGAAUCAAACUAUUAUCUGCUGAGGAAACUGAAUUUGUAAACUAUAAAACAGAACAACUACUAAGAAAACCAGUGCUCUCAAAACACUUUCAACAAGUUAAGAUAGACUUGUAUAGGAAUACAAGAAAAGAAAGCAGGAAUGAGAAACAGGACAGAAACAAAAAAACAAGUCAUAGAUAGCAGAUAAAAGCCCUGGC
rnacentral:lncRNA from 1 species